rnacentral:lncRNA from 1 species
UUUCCCUCAUAUCUUCAUUUACCCAUCUUCUCCUUCAUAUCAUCCUACCUCCAUUAAUGUCCAUGGAGACAAAUCCACCAAGUUAUUAUGUGAAGGAAGCGAUGGAUGAAAAUGAUGUGCGUACCCGGCUUCUUAUGUGAAGGACGGUGAUGGAUUUAAGGGAAAUAAGAUCCAAUUCUCGGGACCGUUGGAAAGCUAAGGCAGCAAAGGUAGCCGCUGAAAAGCUAAGGCAGACUUUCAAAGGAAGCUCCACCAUUUUCUUAGUACUAUGUAUUUUCGUUUACUAGUAAUAUGUAAUGUGAGACUCUUAUUUUGUUUUGUCU